AUUGAACGCUGGCGGCAGGCCUAACACAUGCAAGUCGAACGAGUGGCGGACGGGUGAGUAAUGUCUGGGAAACUGCCCGAUGGAGGGGGAUAACUACUGGAAACAGUAGCUAAUACCGCAUACUAUCGGAUGUGCCCAGAUGGGAUUAGCUAGUAGGUGGGGGAAAGGCUCACCUAGGAGACGAUCCCUAGCUGGUCUGAGAGGAUGACCAGCCACACGGUAACUGAGACCCGGGCAAGACUCCUCGGGGAGGCAGCAGGGGGGAAUAUUGCACAAUGGGCGCAAGCCUGAUGCAGCCAUGCCGCGUGUAUGAAGAAGGCCUUCGGGUUGUAAAGUACUUUCAGCGAGGAGGCGUUACUCGCAGAAGAAGCACCGGCUAACUCCGUGCCAGCCGCCGCGGUAAUUC
rnacentral:rRNA from 1 species